rnacentral:rRNA from 1 species
UACAGAGGGUGCAAGCGUUAAUCGGAAUUACUGGGCGUAAAGCGCACGUAGGCGGCUUGGUAUGUCGGGUGUGAAAUCCCCGGGCUCAACCUGGGAACUGCAUCCGAAACUGCCUUGCUAGAGUAUGGGAGAGGGAAGCGGAAUUUCCGGUGUAGCGGUGAAAUGCGUAGAUAUCGGAAGGAACAUCAGUGACGAAGGCGGCUUCCUGGACCAAUACUGACGCUCAGGUGCGAAAGCGUGGGGAGCAAACAGG